CUUCCUUUAGUCUUGGGGUUUCUCAAUUAGAAAGUAUCAAAGAAUCUCAUGAAGUUGUUAACUUCGUUCCUGGAAGUUUUGAUUAUAAAUUUGUCGGCUUUGAUGAAAAUAGAUCAAAGCAUAGAAACGAUCCCCAAAUUAUGAAAAAGCUGCAUAAUUAAGAAGGACAAGAAAAAAGAAAGUGGUUCUAAGAAAAGGGGAUCCAACAGUCCUGAAAGUAAA
rnacentral:lncRNA from 1 species